rnacentral:rRNA from 1 species
ACCUAGCGGCGGACGGGUGAGUAAUGCUUAGGAAUCUGCCUAUUAGUGGGGGACAACAUCUCGAAAGGGAUGCUAAUACCGCAUACGUCCUACGGGAGAAAGCAGGGGACCUUCGGGCCUUGCGCUAAUAGAUGAGCCUAAGUCGGAUUAGCUAGUUGGUGGGGUAAAGGCCUACCAAGGCGACGAUCUGUAGCGGGUCUGAGAGGAUGAUCCGCCACACUGGGACUGAGACACGGCCCAGACUCCUACGGGAGGCAGCAGUGGGGAAUAUUGGACAAUGGGGGGAACCCUGAUCCAGCCAUGCCGCGUGUGUGAAGAAGGCCUUUUGGUUGUAAAGCACUUUAAGCGAGGAGGAGGCUACCGAGAUUAAUACUCUUGGAUAGUGGACGUUACUCGCAGAAUAAGCACCGGCUAACUCUGUGCCAGCAGCCGCGGUAAUACAGAGGGUGCAAGCGUUAAUCGGAUUUACUGGGCGUAAAGCGCGCGUAGGUGGCCAAUUAAGUCAAAUGUGAAAUCCCCGAGCUUAACUUGGGAAUUGCAUUCGAUACUGGUUGGCUAGAGUAUGGGAGAGGAUGGUAGAAUUCCAGGUGUAGCGGUGAAAUGCGUAGAGAUCUGGAGGAAUACCGAUGGCGAAUGCAGCCAUCUGGCCUAAUACUGACACUGAGGUGCGAAAGCAUGGGGAGCAAACAGGAUUAGAUACCCUGGUAGUCCAUGCCGUAGACGAUGUCUACUAGCCGUUGGGGCCUUUGAGGCUUUAGUGGCGCAGCUAACGCGAUAAGUAGACCGCCUGAGGAGUACGG